rnacentral:hammerhead_ribozyme from 1 species
GUACUGCUGAAGAGAGCUCGAAUAGGACGAAACAGCUGUCCAGUAC